UAUGAAGGGAUAUCAGCAUCUAGCUUAUGGUGGGUAAGAGCUGUUGAUGAGUUCUUUGGUGUUCUACGCACUAGCCCAUUUAGAAGGCAGAAGAUCCAAGGUUCUACCUUGCCCAAGCCACUGCAAUCUUCAAUAGAUCAGGGGCCUUAUUUGAACGUUAUGGGAGAUGGAAUGGUGACAGCAGCGGGCAGU